rnacentral:rRNA from 1 species
AGUGAACGCUGGCGGUAGGCCUAACACAUGCAAGUCGAACGGCAGCACAGUAAGAGCUUGCUCUUACGGGUGGCGAGUGGCGGACUGGUGCGGAAUACAUCGGAAUCUACUUUUUCGUGGGGGAUAACGUAGGGAAACUUACGCUAAUACCGCAUACGACCUACGGGUGAAAGCAGGGGAUCUUCGGACCUUGCUCGAUUGAAUGAGCCGAUGUCGGAUUAGCUAGUUGGCGGGGUAAAGGCCCACCAAGGCGACGAUCCGUAGCUGGUCUGAGAGGAUGAUCAGCCACACUGGAACUGAGACACGGUCCAGACUCCUACGGGAGGCAGCAGUGGGGAAUAUUGGACAAUGGGCGCAAGCCUGAUCCAGCCAUACAGCGUGGGUGAAGAAGGCCUUCGGGUUGUAAAGCCCUUUUGUUGGGAAAGAAAAGCAGCAGGUUAAUACCCCGCUGUUCUGACGGUACCCAAAGAAUAAGCACCGGCUAACUUAGUG